AUGAAUGCUGGCGGCGUGGAUGAGGCAUGCAAGUCGAAUGGGUUUAGACCCAUGGCGGACGAGGUAGUAACACGUAGGUACGUACCCCAAAGUCAGGGAUAAUCCGGAGAAAUCCGGGAUAAUACUUGAUAGUCUCUUCGGAGUAAAGAUUUAUCGCUUUGGGAACGGCCUGCGUUCUAUCAGCUUGUUGGUAAGGUAACGGCUUACCAAGGCUACGACGGAUAGGGGAGGUGAGAGCCUGACCCCCACCGAUGGAACUGCGACACGGUCCAUACUCCUACGGGAGGCUGCAGUCGAGAAUCUUCCGCAAUGGACGAAAGUCUGACGGAGCGACGCCGCGUGGUAGAUGAAGUCCUUAGGGACGUAAAUACCUUUUAUGAGGGAAGAAGUUUAUUGACAUUACCUCAUGAAUAAGGGGCUCCCAAUUCUGU
rnacentral:rRNA from 1 species